UCCUGCAAAUGUUGGCACAUCUUGUUUGUGCCAGUAUAUUUCAUGGACUUCACUAAACUCAUGGCACAUCUGGAAACUUUUAGUGGAGCUCAUCCUCUGCUUUCUUUACAGUUUGUUUUUUAUCAAAGCCAUUUGCCUGGUUUAUUUGGAAUGUAAUGGCACCCAGUUUUUUAUAUGAACAUAAAUUUGAAGGCUGGUUUGAAAUAAAUAUAACAACAAGAACUUCUAACAUGAAGUGGAGAUAGGUCUUGAUGCAGCGAUAUCUCCAUUGUCUUGCUUCUCAAUUGGCCAUCAUCCCACUUUGACACAGUGAAUUAUCUGACAUCAUUGAUGUUAAAUUGUCCUGGAAAAUAAAAGAUUUGGAACUCUUCAGCAUUGUCUUACAAAAAAGAAGGAGUCCUUCUGGUAUCAUUUCUGAGGUGCAGCAGUGACAAUGAAGGCAACUCCUCCACUCCAAAGGAAUCUGGAUUAUGUGCACCACUUGUCGAAAUAGGUGAGAAACCGAUUUCUUAUAGAAGAUGCAGCAUUAUUCACACUUAUUUGCGAUUGACAGUUUCAUUGUGUCUUGGUUGGCUCCCUCUAUUGCUUUUCCAUUUGGAUGCAAUUAAAUUUGGAUCAAGCAGGCCAUUGAAUCGUAAGCUGUUUGAUUACUGAGUGAUGUUUAAAUUGGUUAAUACUUUUGAAAUUCAUUUAAUUGAUUUGUUUAUAUUGCUUUAAAGAGGACGAUCGAUGAAUCCUAAUGGGGCUUGUGGAGCACCAUUUGUGUUGAAGGCAGGGUAGCAUUCUUAGUGGGGUUUGUGGUAAGGAAUUGUUAUGAUGAUUGGCAAAAUGUUCAACUGCUCUGAAAAGGGUGAAUGAUAAAAAGCCAUUCUGAACAUGUUAAUUGACUUUACGAACUAGAUACCUGGUUGUACAACACUUUCACAAACAUAAGAAAAUGUUGUAUUUUAGAGUCAGCUUGGAAUCAGAUUGGUUGCUACUGUAGGUAGAUGCUCAGCCUUACAAUUACAAUGGCAAAAAAGACAAGGUGUAAUCUUUUAUUGUUUAAAUAGAUGGCAAAUCUAGGAUCAGCUUUCUGUAUUGAGACCCUCUCAGGGUGGAGGGAGGGGGGAUGCAAUCUGGCAAAUUCCCCUGCAAAGUAUUUACACAAAGGAAUUUAGCAGCCUACUUAAAGGGGUGAAUUGUUAUUGGAAUGAGUUCCUUUUGAAAGCUUGAAGCUGGUUCUGCAAAAGCAUAUUUGCUGUCCUUACAGCACUUGGAUGACACGUGUUCUUCCUUGACUGCAAUUUGGCAUCUGGCUCUUUCAGAUUUGCAUUUACAGUGCAAAUACAAAGAAGAGGCGGAUUCUGAAAUAGCCACACCUUCAGGCAUGGACAUUGUUUUAAGUCAGAAACCAUGUAGCAGAAAAAUAUUAAUGAAAAAGCAUCUAUUUACAAUUACUUGCUACAAAAGUCCACAACAAACUGGAUUUAGAAAGCAAGACAGAAAUCUGAAUCCUUCUGCUACAUAAAGAUUCCUAACUAAAGUGUGUUGGAAGAAUAACUUCAAACAGAACAGGACUGUUCUAUCAUAUUCUGAUGUUAAGGCAUCAUUUGAAAUCUAUUCUUAAUAAACCGAUGAAUCUACUAUUUUUCUUACUAAAGCCAGAAUUCUUGUUACUCAUUUGUCAUCCUCAAAAACGUUAAAUUAAAAAUUUGGUGGAACAGUGUGGUCACCUUGUUAAAUAAAACUUGGAUAUAUUUUUAA